UACAGAGGGUGCGAGCGUUAAUCGGAAUUACUGGGCGUAAAGCGCGCGUAGGCGGCUUUGCAAGUCGGGUGUGAAAUCCCCAGGCUUAACCUGGGAACUGCAUUCGAGACUGCAUUGCUAGAGUAUGGGAGAGGGAAGUGGAAUUUCAGGUGUAGCGGUGAAAUGCGUAGAUAUCUGAAGGAACAUCAGUGGCGAAAGCGACUUCCUGGACCAAUACUGACGCUCAUGUGCGAAAGCGUGGGGAGCGAACGGG
rnacentral:rRNA from 1 species